CCAAUGAUAUCGCUAUGGGGCAAGGCAAAAGGAAUAAACUUUGACUGUGUACAAAUAAUCCCAUCUUUGAAGGUAGAACAUUGGUGAGUUGGCUGUCAUACUAGACGCUAAAUUGAAC